rnacentral:rRNA from 1 species
CUACGGGGGGCUGCAGUGGGGAAUAUUGGACAAUGGGGGAAACCCUGAUCCAGCAAUGCCGCGUGUGUGAAGAAGGCCUGCGGGUUGUAAAGCACUUUCGGUUGGGAGGACUGCUUCUAGCACUAAUAUUGUUGGAAGUUGACGUUACCUUCAGAAGAAGCACCGGCUAACUCCGUGCCAGCAGCCGCGUGUAAUACGGAGGGUGCAGGCGUUAAUCGGAAUUACUGGGCGUAAAGCGCGCGUAGGCGGCUAGAUCAGUCGGGUGUGAAAGCCCCGGGCUUAACCUGGGAACUGCAUCCGAUACUGUCUAGCUUGAGUACAGGAGAGGAGAGUGGAAUUCCACAUGUAGCGGUGAAAUGCGUAGAUAUGUGGAGGAACACCAAUGGCGAAGGCAGCUCUCUGGCCUGAUACUGACGCUGAGGUGCGAAAGCGUGGGGAGCAAACAGGAUUAGAUACCCCCGUAGUC